ensembl:snoRNA SNORD21 Small nucleolar RNA SNORD21
UCUUGAUGAUGAUAAAAGCACGCUGAGCAAAAUGUAGUUGGUCCUUCAUUUGCAUUAGCUGAUGUUCACUGUCCUUUCAAGACGGGGCUGAGAGAAGC